rnacentral:rRNA from 2 species
GACGAAGGAUGCAAGCGUUAUCCGGAUUCAUUGGGUUUAAAGGGUGCGUAGGCGGCCCGGUAAGUCAGUGGUGAAAUCUCCUUGCUUAACAAGGAAACUGCCAUUGAUACUGUCGGGCUUGAGUACAGUUGCUGUGGGCGGAAUAUGACAUGUAGUGGUGAAAUACAUAGAGAUGUCAUAGAACACCGAUUGCGAAGGCAGCUCACAAAACUGUAACUGACGCUGAGGCACGAAAGUGCGGGGAUCAAACAGG